rnacentral:rRNA from 1 species
UCGAACGAGAAGUACGUAGCAAUACGUAUUGUAAAGUGGCGCACGGGUGAGUAACACGUGGGUAAUCUGCCCUUGAGUUUGGGAUAACCCCGCGAAAGCGGGGCUAAUACCGAAUAAGACCACGGGGACCAAAGUCUCUGAGGUAAAAGGUGGCCUCUAUUUAUAAGCUACCACUUGAGGAUGAGCCCGCGGCCCAUUAGCUAGUUGGCAGGGUAAUGGCCUACCAAGGCAAUGAUGGGUAGCUGGUCUGAGAGGACGAUCAGCCACACUGGAACUGAGACACGGUCCAGACUCCUACGGGAGGCAGCAGUGGGGAAUAUUGCGCAAUGGGCGAAAGCCUGACGCAGCAACGCCGCGUGGGGGAUGAAGGUUCUCGGAUUGUAAACCCCUUUCGACCGGAACGAAUCUCCUCCUGGUAAAUAAUCAGGAGGAUCGACGGUACCGGGAGAAGAAGCCACGGCUAACUCUGUGCCAGCAGCCGCGGUAAGACAGAGGUGGCGAGCGUUGUUCGGAUUUAUUGGGCGUAAAGCGUACGCAGGCGGUUUGGUAAGUCAGAGGUGAAAGCUCGCAGCUUAACUGCGACACUGCCUUUGAUACUGCCUUUCUUGAGUAGAGUAGGGGGAAGCGGAAUUCCGAGUGUAGAGGUGAAAUUCGUAGAUAUUCGGAGGAACACCGGUGGCGAAGGCGGCUUCCUGGACUCUAACUGACGCUCAUGUACGAAAGCGUGGGUAGCA